rnacentral:rRNA from 1 species
UACGUAGGGUCCGAGCGUUUGUCCGGAAUUAUUGGGCGUAAAGGGCUCGUAGGCGGUUUGUCGCGUCGGGAGUGAAAACUUACAGCUUAACUGUGAGCGUGCUUCCGAUACGGGCAGACUUGAGGUAUUCAGGGGAGAACGGAAUUCCUGGUGUAGCGGUGAAAUGCGCAGAUAUCAGGAGGAACACCGGUGGCGAAGGCGGUUCUCUGGGAAUAUCCUGACGCUGAGGAGCGAAAGUGUGGGGAGCGAACAGG